rnacentral:SRP_RNA from 1 species
UCUUGCUUUUUUUAAAAAAAUACGGUAUACUGAAUUGUAACGCCAUGUGCCUUGGGGCGUACGGACGGGUGGGUCCUGCGCGACGGCGACCCGUGAACCAUGUCAGGCGGUGAACGGAGCAGAAUUAAGCGGUAUUCUGCGGUGCGCCGCUGGGAGCCUGCCCGUCCUUACGCCCGAAGGUACAUGGCUCUUUUAACUUGUAGGA